rnacentral:rRNA from 1 species
AUUAGAUACCCUGGUAGUUCACGCCGUAAACGAUGAGUGCUAAGUGUUAGAGGGUUUCCGCCCUUUAGUGCUGCAGCUAACGCAUUAAGCACUCCGCCUGGGGAGUACGGUCGCAAGACUGAAACUCAAAGGAAUUGACGGGGGCCCGCACAAGCGGUGGAGCAUGUGGUUUAAUUUGAAGCAACGCGAAGAACCUUACCAGGUCUUGACAUCCUUUGACAACCCUAGAGAUAGGGCUUUCCCCUUCGGGGGACAGAGUGACAGGUGGUGCAUGGUUGUCGUCAGCUCGUGUCGUGAGAUGUUGGGUUAAGUCCCGCAACGAGCGCAACCCUUGAUUUUAGUUGCCAGCAUUCAGUUGGGCACUUUAAGAUGACUGCCGGUGACAAACCGGAGGAAGGUGGGGAUGACGUCAAAUCAUCAUGCCCCUUAUGACCUGGGCUACACACGUGCUACAAUGGACGGUACAAAGGGCAGCGAGACCGCGAGGUUUAGCCAAUCCCAUAAAACCGUUCUCAGUUCGGAUUGCAGGCUGCAACUCGCCUGCAUGAAGCUGGAAUCGCUAGUAAUCGCGGAUCAGCAUGCCGCGGUGAAUACGUUCCCGGGCCUUGUACACACCGCCCGUCACACCACGAGAGUUUGUAACACCCGAAGUCGGUGAGGU